AGACGUCUACAUUAGAUACCCGGGUAGUCCCAGCCGUAAACUAUGCGCGUUAGGUGUAUCGGUGACCACGAGUCACCGAGGUGCCGAAGGGAAACCGUGAAACGUGCCGCCUGGGAAGUACGGUCGCAAGGCUGAAACUUAAAGGAAUUGGCGAGGGAGCACCACAACGGGUGGAGCCUGCGGUUUAAUUGGACUCAACGCCGGGAAGCUCACCGGAUAAGACAGCGGAAUGAUUGCCGGGCUGAAGACUCUGCAUGACUAGCUG
rnacentral:rRNA from 1 species